rnacentral:rRNA from 1 species
AUGAACGCUGGCGGCGUGCCUAAUACAUGCAAGUCGAGCGAACGGACGAGAAGCUUGCUUCUCUGAUGUUAGCGGCGGACGGGUGAGUAACACGUGGAUAACCUACCUAUAAGACUGGGAUAACUUCGGGAAACCGGAGCUAAUACCGGAUGAUAUUUUGAACCGCAUGGUUCAAAAGUGAAAGACGGUCUUGCUGUCACUUAUAGAUGGAUCCGCGCUGCAUUAGCUAGUUGGUAAGGUAACGGCUUACCAAGGCAACGAUGCAUAGCCGACCUGAGAGGGUGAUCGGCCACACUGGAACUGAGACACGGUCCAGACUCCUACGGGAGGCAGCAGUAGGGAAUCUUCCGCAAUGGGCGAAAGCCUGACGGAGCAACGCCGCGUGAGUGAUGAAGGUCUUCGGAUCGUAAAACUCUGUUAUUAGGGAAGAACAUAUGCGUAAGUAACUGUGCACAUCUUGACGGUACCUAAUCAGAAAGCCACGGCUAACUACGUG